rnacentral:rRNA from 1 species
UACGUAGGGUGCGAGCGUUGUCCGGAAUUACUGGGCGUAAAGAGCUCGUAGGUGGUUUGUCGCGUUGUCCGUGAAAACUCACAGCUUAACUGUGGGCGUGCGGGCGAUACGGGCAGACUGGAGUACUGCAGGGGAGACUGGAAUUCCUGGUGUAGCGGUGGAAUGCGCAGAUAUCAGGAGGAACACCGGCGGCGAAGGCGGGUCUCUGGGCAACAACUGACGCUGAGGAGCGAAAGCGUGGGGAGCGAACAGG